AGCCGAAACGGACAACCUCGGUUGUCCGUCCGCGGGAAAUGACCUCCCCGCGCUGAUGAUGGCAGGUCGAA
rnacentral:hammerhead_ribozyme from 1 species